AUUCUGUCCUGGCAUGGUGUAAACUGCAUGAGCUGUUCGGACGAGGGGGAUUUCUCUCCCCUAAAACCCCUUUAUGGAACAAUAGAUUGAUCCCUAUGUUUUUCCAGAAUAGUAACUUUAGACCGUGGUCUGAUAAGGGGAUCACUCUGCUGGAACACUGUUAUGAGGAGGGAGUUCUUAUGUCUUUUGAACAGCUGAAACAGAAAUACCACUUGUCUAACAGGGACUUCUUUAGCUACCUACAACUACGAGACUUUAUUAGGGUGACUCUCAAGGGACAAUGGAACCUACCUAAGAUGUCACCUAUUGAACAAUUCUGCCAUGCAGACCAACCACUACUCACGACCAUUUCCCGUGUUUACGAUGCUCUAAUGUCAGUACUAACACUGCCUGAGCUAGAUAAACCCCGAUUUAGAUGGGAAAAAGAUCUGGGUAUUGAUCUUGAUGAGGGCCUAUGGAGUGACCUAUGCAGGGAUGGUGUUACAUCCACAUUGAACUCCAGAUACAGAUUGAUCCAGUUUAAUUUCCUCCAUCAGCUCUAUAUCACCCCAUCUAGACUGCACAAGUUCAACCCUGAUAUCUCCUCCCUAUGUUUUAGAUGUGGCUCAGAUGAAGGAACAUUCCUCCAUUCCACUUGGCAGUGUUCAAAACUACAUGGUUUCUGGCAGGGGGUAUGCGAUACCAUAUCCUCAAUCCACGGGGUUGCAUUCCCUUUAGACCCCGAGGUCUGCCUACUGGGUAAAUAUACUAACACCAAUCUUAGGCAAAGUCAUACUAUAAAGCUAACAGAAAUAUUGCUAGCGAUUGCCAAGAAAUGUAUUGCCUUGAAAUGGAAAUCGGAUUCCCCCCUACCAGUGGCAAUGUGGCUAUCGGAAGUUAAUAGUUGUAUCCCACUGGAGAAAAUCACUUACUGCUUGAGGAAUAAGUUAAAGACAUUUUACAGAAUUUGGCAACCUUUUAUUGACUAUAUGGAGAAUCUCCCCCCACACCACAUUGAUUGAAUCUCUAUAUAAUUCUUAUAUAAUGUUUCACAAGUAAUGUAUAAUAUGUAGCUUACAGCAGGUGACCAUAUGAAUCAAUGUCUCAUUAUUAUUAUUAAUAUUUAUUUUAUUAUGAUUUAUG
rnacentral:lncRNA from 8 species